UGCUAGCUGCCAGUUGGCUAUAUAAGCGAAGCAGGCACCGCGCCUGGCCAGUGAUUAUGUGACUGUCGCGCCGUGAUGUUAUGUGAUUUAACAGUCACGCGGUAAAUUCGCGGGAUGCUAGCUGCCAGUUGUCUAUAUAAGCGAAGCAGGCACCGCGUCUGGCCAAUGCUUAUGUGACUGUCGCGCCGUGAUGUUAUGUGAUUUAACAGUCACGCGGUAAAUUCGCGGGAUGCUAGCUGCCAGUUGUCUAUAUAAGCGAAGCAGGCACCGUGCCUGGCCACUGCUUAGGUGACUGUCGCGCCGUGAUGUUAUGUGAUUUAACAGUCACGCGGUAAAUUCGCGGGAUGCUAGCUGCCAGUUGUCUAUAUAAGCGAAGCAGGCACCGUGCCUGGCCAGUGCUUAGGUGACUGUCGCGCCGUGAUGUUAUGUGAUUUAACAGUCACGCGGUAAAUUCGCGGGAUGCUAGCUGCCAGUUGGCUAUAUAAGCAAAGCAGGCACCGCGUCUGGCCAGUGCUUAGGUGACUGUCGCGCCGUGAUGUUAUGUGAUUUAACAGUCACGCGAUAAAUUCGCGGGAAGCUAGCUGCCAGUUGGCUAUAUAAGCAAAGCAGGCACCGCGUCUGGCCAGUGCUUAGGUGACUGUCGCGCCGUGAUGUUAUGUGAUUUAACAGUCACGCGGUAAAUUCGCGGGAUGCUAGCUGCCAGUUGGCUAUAUAAGCGAAGCAGGCACCGUGCCUGGCCAGUGCUUAGGUGACUGUCGCGCCGUG